rnacentral:rRNA from 1 species
UGGGGAAUAUUGGACAAUGGGCGCAAGCCUGAUCCAGCCAUGCCGCGUGUGUGAUGAAGGCCUUAGGGUUGUAAAGCACUUUCACCGAUGAAGAUAAUGACGGUAGUCGGAGAAGAAGCCCCGGCUAACUUCGUGCCAGCAGCCGCGGUAAUACGAAGGGGGCUAGCGUUGUUCGGAAUCACUGGGCGUAAAGCGCACGUAGGCGGAUUGUUAAGUGAGGGGUGAAAUCCCAGGGCUCAACCCUGGAACU